rnacentral:rRNA from 1 species
UGUGUAGGCGGUUGUUUAAGUUUGGUGUGAAAUCUCCCGGCUCAACUGGGAGGGAGCGCCGAAUACUGAAUGACUUGGAGUGCGGGAGAGGAAAGUGGAAUUCCUGGUGUAGCGGUGAAAUGCGUAGAUAUCAGGAGGAACACCGGUGGUGUAGACGGCUUUCUGGACCGUAACUGACGCUGAGACACGAAAGCGUGGGUAGCAAACAGGAUUAGAUACCCUGGUAGUCCACGCCCUAAACGAUGCAUAUUUGGUGUGGGCAGUUCAUCCUGUCCGUGCCGGAGCUAACGCGUUAAAUAUGCCGCCUGGGGAGUACAGUCGCAAGGCUGAA